CAUAUACUCCCUCCGUCCGGAAAUACUUGUCAUGAAAUGGAUGUAUCUAGAUGUAUUUUAGUUCUAGAUACAUUCAUUUUCAUCCAUUUUGAUGACAAGUAAAUCCGGACGGAGGGAGUACUGA
rfam:Triticum aestivum genome assembly, contig: Triticum_aestivum_CS42_TGACv1_scaffold_546625_6DS